UUUGAUCCUGGCUCAGAUUGAACGCUGGCGGCAUGCUUUACACAUGCAAGUCGAUACGGCAGCGCGGGGCAACCUGGCGGCGAGUGGCGAACGGGUGAGUUAUAUAUCGGAACGUACCCAAGAGUGGGGGAUAACGUAGCGAAAGUUACGCUAAUACCGCAUACGAUCUAAGGAUGAAAGCAGGGGACCGUCAAGGCCUUGUGCUCCUGGAGCGGCCGAUAUCUGAUUAGCUAGUUGGUGAGGUAAAGGCUCACCAAGGCGACGAUCAGUAGCUGGUCUGAGAGGACGACCAGCCACACUGGAACUGAGACACGGUCCAGACUCCUACGGGAGGCAGCAGUGGGGAAUUUUGGACAAUGGGCGCAAGCCUGAUCCAGCAAUGCCGCGUGAGUGAAGAAGGCCUUCGGGUUGUAAAGCUCUUUUGUCAGGGAAGAAACGGUGCGGGCUAAUAUCCCGUGCUAAUGACGGUACCUGAAGAAUAAGCACCGGCUAACUACGUGCCAGCAGCCGCGGUAAUACGUAGGGUGCAAGCGUUAAUCGGAAUUACUGGGCGUAAAGCGUGCGCAGGCGGUUUUGUAAGUCUGUCGUGAAAUCCCCGGGCUCAACCUGGGAAUUGCGAUGGAGACUGCAAGGCUAGAAUCUGGCAGAGGGGGGUAGAAUUCCACGUGUAGCAGUGAAAUGCGUAGAGAUGUGGAGGAACACCGAUGGCGAAGGCAGCCCCCUGGGUCAAGAUUGACGCUCAUGCACGAAAGCGUGGGGAGCAAACAGGAUUAGAUACCCUGGUAGUCCACGCCCUAAACGAUGUCUACUAGUUGUCGGGUUUUAAUUAACUUGGUAACGCAGCUAACGCGUGAAGUAGACCGCCUGGGGAGUACGUCGCAAGAUUAAAACUCAAAGGAAUUGACGGGGACCCUGUCACAAGCGGUGGAUGAUGUGGAUUAAUUCGAUGCAACGCGAAAAACCUUACCUACCCUUGACAUGGAAGGAAUCCUGGAGAGAUCUGGG
rnacentral:rRNA from 1 species